AGCCAGAUUGGUGUAGUGGUUUGAGCAUUGGACUACAAUGCUGGGGACUAGGGUUCAAAUCCCCGUUUGGCCA